UAGGGCCUACGGGGGGCAGCAGUAGGGAAUCUUCCACAAUGGGCGAAAGCCUGAUGGAGCAACGCCGCGUGGGUGAAGAAGGUCUUCGGAUCGUAAAACCCUGUUGUUAGAGAAGAAAGUGCGUGAGAGUAACUGUUCACGUUUCGACGGUAUCUAAACAGAAAGCCACGGCUAACUACGUGCCAGCAGCCGCGGUAAUACGUAGGUGGCAAGCGUAAUCCGGAUUUAUUGGGCGUAAAGGGAAGG
rnacentral:rRNA from 1 species